UACGUAGGGUGCAAGCGUUGUCCGGAAUUAUUGGGCGUAAAGAGCUCGUAGGCGGUUUGUCGCGUCUGCUGUGAAAACCCGAGGCUCAACCGCGGGCCUGCAGCCGAUACGGGCAGGCUAGAGUUCGGUAGGGGAGACUGGAAUUCCUGGUGUAGCGGUGAAAUGCGCAGAUAUCAGGAGGAACACCGAUGGCGAAGGCAGGUCUCUGGGCCGAUACUGACGCUGAGGAGCGAAAGCGUGGGGAGCGAACAGG
rnacentral:rRNA from 1 species